CGGAGAUCUUCUGCAGGCCAGGCCUUGGGCAGAAGUGUUUUUAGGAUGGAUCCUGUGUACGGUGUGCCAUGUUGAAACUAGAGAAUGAGACCUGGAUACCACCGUGCCAUCUUUGAACCAAUGGCAGAGUCUCGCCCAUCUCUUGGCCUCUUGAAUUACUCUGGUGACCUAGUUAUUCAGUCCUGGGUGGACCUGCAGGUGGCCCUCAAGGAGGGUUUCCUCUGAGUGAACACUUUUCUAGAAGGAGACCAGGGUGCUUCUUUCUUUUCUUCUAGCAAGAUGUGUGACGUGAGAGAUGGGAAAGUUGGGGCAUUUAGAAUUGAAGUGGUGAGAACAGCCCAGGGUGGGAUCAGGAGUGCCUUGCCCUCCACCUAGUGUGACUGCCAUCUUCUAGAAGCUCCAGGUCCUUUUCUUAAUGGGAAGCUGCACUGCUGUUCCUUAGAUGUGACAAGAGGGGAAGUGGGGCCAGGUGGCACUGGGAGCAGUUCUUAGCCGAUUCCUGGAUUCCGAGCUCUGGAGGACGCUACUUGGGGCACCUGAUGAUAAUGUAUAAAGGAGAUACUCAGACACGGUGGGUUUUGCUUCCCAGUUGGGAGCAGCCAUGAGCCAAUGGCAGAGUGCAGGCUGGGCGCAUCAGGACCCAGCCCACCAUAGCAGCUGCCCCGAGGCAGGCAGUGGAGACUCCAGAGGACAAAAGCCAUUCCCACUCUGGCCUUGUGGAGCAUGAAGAGUCCAUAAGUAGAUGACAUAGCCUAGACGGCUGCCUUCCUUGAAAUUUCUGUCCUGGGCUCCAGGUGAAGAUGGAAUGGAGGAGGGGGUAUCCCUGGCUACUCCCAGGGCAGAAGGAAAUUUGGAGCAGCUUAGGUGCCAGAUCUGCAAGUGAUGGAGCCUCCAGAAGAUUUCCAGCACCCAACUGGU
rnacentral:lncRNA from 1 species